UACGAAGGGGGCUAGCGUUGCUCGGAAUCACUGGGCGUAAAGCGCACGUAGGCGGAUCUUUAAGUCAGGGGUGAAAUCCUGGAGCUCAACUCCAGAACUGCCUUUGAUACUGAGGAUCUUGAGUCCGGGAGAGGUGAGUGGAACUCCGAGUGUAGAGGUGAAAUUCGUAGAUAUUCGCAAGAACACCAGUGGCGAAGGCGGCUCACUGGCCCGGUACUGACGCUGAGGUGCGAAAGCGUGGGGAGCAAACAGGG
rnacentral:rRNA from 1 species